GCGCAGGGGACGCCUGCGAAGCCGGCUGCCCUGCCCGCACUGUGUGUGCAGCCUCUCCCCACCUCUAGUUCCCAGGGCUAAGGGUGGCCAGACCGAGAAAAGCACUUUUCGUCCCUUAGUCGCAGAUGUCCGGGGAAAGAUGCACAGCUGAUUGGGGUGUUGGAAGGAUUAAGCGUGGGAAUACACCCCGAGCAGGAGCCGCCGGCGUGAGGAGCACGUGCUCUGUGCCCGUGUGGGGAGACCCACAGCAGCACAGCUUCCGAGCGCUGUUCAGGCUAUCCCCAGAAAUGCUCCUGCGCUUAUUAAGGCAUCUAUCAUGACAUUUAAUCAGGCUUAGCUGUGAGCCGAGCCCUCUCCGAAUGCUAGUUUGGGUUGGCUAAUGAGCUGUUUGACCUUAAAUGGUUAGUGUGGUGCAGAGCUUCCCCAAAAUCGCUCUGGCGCUGAGCACGGUUGCAUUUCUGCUUUUGAAAGGAUUGCAGAACUGCUCUUUUGAAGAUGGUGGGGGUGGGGAGGGGUUUCCAGUAAUAGAAGAAACAUGUUCUCUUUGUUGCUCUCAAAUGCAGAGGGCCGUGUGGUCCCAUGGGUUGUAUUGCCAGGGCUGUAUCCAGCCACCAGACUGCUGGACGAACGUCCCCCUGGUGCCCUUUAGUGGUGGGUUGUCGGCAGUGUAGGUUGGACUGGGUAUCAGGGCAAGCAGACGCUGCCAGGGGUUGCUAAAGUAUCUACUUGUAGAGCAGUUGCAUCAUACUUUUCCUUGCUGUAAGUGACUAAGAUGUCUCUGUUCGCUGUUGUCUUCCUUCUGCACCCAGGUGAGCAUACCUGGGCCAGGCCUCGGCUGGUGUAAAUCGGUGCAAUGCCACUUGUACACACACACACGUCUUCCCAGGUGUCCCUCUCAGAAUGCCAUGGAGGUAUGAGGCAGCAGAACUCCUCAGUGCUGAUUAGUUCGUGGUGCUGUCAAGAAGAAUAAAGCAGAGUAGGCACCCCACUUUAGUUUAAGGAGUCAAAAUAUAGAGGAAAAGGGGGAAAUGAAGAUGUUGCUGAAGAACUGCAGUAACAGGGAGAGAGCUGGACAUAGGCAGUUUUCUCAAAUAAACAGUCUUAGCACUACAAAAACAUUCUCUGCGUGAUUGCACUGCAGAAGCAGCGGGAUGGCUCGUGGGAGCUCUUGCUCAGGCAUUGACCCUGAGGCUGCAGGUCUGCACAGUCCGGGGGCAUCUCCCUUGAAGAUGGCUGUCUCCUGGGAACUGCUUAUGAAAACGAUGCCAUUCCCAGCCUUCAUCUGGGGAGCCAUAGAUUGCCUCAAACAGGACUAUCCUCAGGACCUUUAGCUUAGCAGAGAAGCUGCGAGGUUGGAUGUGAAUAAUAAACUACUCUUUCUCAUAAAUAUA